rnacentral:rRNA from 1 species
GCAUAUCAUAGCGGAGGAAAAGAAACCAACAGGGAUUGCCUCAGUAACGGCGAGUGAAGCGGCAAAAGCUCAAAUUUGAAAUCUGGCCCUUUCAGGGUCCGAGUUGUAAUUUGCAGAGGAUGCUUCGGGAGCGGCGGCGGUCUAAGUCCCCUGGAACGGGGCGUCAUAGAGGGUGAGAAUCCCGUCUUGGACCGCAUGCCCGUGACCGUGUGAAGCUCCUUCGACGAGUCGAGUUGUUUGGGAAUGCAGCUCAAAAUGGGUGGUAAAUUUCAUCUAAAGCUAAAUACUGGCUGGAGACCGAUAGCGCACAAGUAGAGUGAUCGAAAGGUUAAAAGCACCUUGAAAAGGGAGUUAAAUAGCACGUGAAAUUGUUGAAAGGGAAGCGCUUGCAACCAGACUCGGCCGCAGAGGCUCAGUGGGCACGUGUGCCCAUGCACUCCUCUGUGGUCGGGCCAGCAUCAGUUCUGACGGCCGGUCAAAGGCCCCCGGAAUGUAUCCUCCUCCGGGAGGUCUUAUAGCCGGGGGUGCAAUGCGGUCAGUCGGGACUGAGGAACGCGCUUCGGCACGGAUGCUGGCGUAAUGGUUGUAAGCGACCCGUCUUGAAACACGGACCAAGGAGUCUAACAUCCACGCGAGUGUUAGGGUGUCAAACCCUUGCGCGCAGUGAAAGCGAACGGAGGUGAGAUCCCCGCAAGGGGCGCAUCAUCGACCGAUCCUGAAGUCUUCGGAUGGAUUUGAGUAAGAGCGUGGCUGUUGGGACCCGAAAGAUGGUGAACUAUGCCUGAAUAGGGUGAAGCCAGAGGAAACUCUGGUGGAGGCUCGCAGCGGUUCUGACGUGCAAAUCGAUCGUCAAAUUUGGGUAUAGGGGCGAAAGACUAAUCGAAACCAUCUAGUAGCUGGGUUCUGCGA